GCGACCUAACCUCCAUAACUCCAGAUUGUGUUAUGACACAUCUUUUAUCAAAAUUACUCUUUAUAGACCCCCCUUAAUAACAAUCCCUAAAGAGGGGUAUCAAUUUCUUUGAUUAGAACAUAUAUAUAUUUUCUGUAUCAAGUAUACCAACUUCCUUCCGUAUAUUCAUGCAGUCUAUGUAUCGUUUCCACCUCCGGCAAUGUUGCCACGUUUAUGGAGGGAGCAACCGGCACUAUAUAUCAAAGGAUAUAUUUUUAUUUAUAGAUGUGAUUUAUCAAACAGAUUUGAAUAGUUUGGAAGUCUAUCAUUAGGUUUUGUAAGUGAUGCUUUAUUAUGUACUUAUAAAACUUUUGCUACAGUAGUCAUCGUAAAUGAAAUCAAAGCCAAUGUCAUAAAUAUACACGACUUCAGCAGCAGGAAGCAUUUCCAUACGAUAACACAAUUGACGAAUAUGUUGGUUUAGACCUUACUUGCAAUGGUUAUUCUAAAAAUACUCUCCAGUUUGCUGCAGCAGUCAUUGCUAAUUUUGACCAAUAUCGUGAAAAUUAUUUUCUACUUCAAGGAAGAUGCAUUUAGAUAAGAUAACAGUCAAGAAGGAAUCCAUUGGUAAUAUUGUGUGUAUUGUGUUGUAUUGUGCAUAUGGUAUGGUUUAUGUAAAAGUGUCA